UACGAGAGGCCCAAACGUUAUUCGGAUUUACUGGGCUUAAAGAGUUCGUAGGCGGCGCAGAAAGUUGGGUGUGAAAUCCCUCGGCUCAACCGAGGAACUGCGCCCAAAACUACCGUGCUCGAGGGAGACAGAGGUGAGCGGAACUUAGGGUGGAGCGGUGAAAUGCGUUGAUAUCCUAAGGAACACCCGUGGCGAAAGCGGCUCACUGGGUCUCUUCUGACGCUGAGGCACGAAAGCUAGGGUAGCGAACGGG
rnacentral:rRNA from 1 species